rnacentral:rRNA from 1 species
AACUUUCAACAACGGAUCUCUUGGUUCUCGCAUCGAUGAAGAGCGCAGCGAAAUGCGAUAAUUAAUGUGAAUUGCAGAUUUUCGUGAAUCAUCGAGUUCUUGAACGCACAUUGCGCCCUCUGGUAUUCCGGAGGGCAUGUCUGUUUGAGCGUCAUUU